rnacentral:rRNA from 1 species
AGCUCCGGCUAACUCCGUGCCAGCAGCCGCGGUAAUACGGAGGGAGCUAGCGUUGUUCGGAAUCACUGGGCGUAAAGGGCGCGUAGGCGGUCGGGUAAGUCGGGUGUGAAAUUCCGGGGCUCAACCCCGCGAACUGCAUCCGAUACUGCUCGACUAGAGAGAGGUAGGGGCGAGUAGAAUUCCCGGUGUAGCGGUGGAAUGCGUAGAUAUCGGGAAGAACACCGGUGGCGAAGGCGGCUCGCUGGGCCUUAUCUGACGCUGAAGCGCGAAAGCGUGGGGAGCAAACAGGAUUAGAUACCCUGGUAGUCCACGCCGUAAACGAUGGGUACUAGGUGUUGGGAGGAUUGACCCUCUCAGUGCCGACGCUAACGCAUUAAGUACCCCGCCUGGGGAGUACGGCCGCAAGGCUGAAACUCAAAGGAAUUGACGG